CCCACAGUCAAACAUUAGAUGUAGCUUGGGAAGUAUUUUUCAAAUGUUGGGGGAAUCAUUGAGAAAACCAGAGGGGAGAGGGACUUUGCAGGAAGACUAACAGAGUCAAAUAAUCUGGACAUUGGGGGGUUGCAGAGACUGAACCACCGAUCAAAGAAAAUACAAGGACUGAACCUAGAAAAUAAUAAAUCAAUGUUGAAUAUACAUCUAACAAUCAUGUCAAAAAGCCCAAUGAUCCCAAUGCUCACAGAGGCAUCUAUUUGAGCCCAUUCUACUUUGAAAGCAUAAAGACAAAGAAGGUGCCCAGAAGAUAAACUGAUGGUUCUGGGUAAGUGUCCUGAAAACUAGUUAGACAGGUAAAAGUUCCCCACUGAAAAUAGACAUCAAGCUGGAAUAAUUGUCCUGAAAAUUCUUCCCACAUGUAGAAGUUAUAAAUAAACCAAAUCUAACCUUUUAAAAACUAUGUCUGUUACUAAAGUUUUGGUUUUAAAAUUCUGAGAAAUCAUUUAUCCUCCUUGGUAAUUUUCUCUCAUCUUGGAUAAAUAAUUCCAAAUUACCUGCUUAGUACUCAAGCAUUUCUGCUCUUUCUGAAACAGUUCUUGUUAAAUAUUCAAAGUUGAGUUACCCCUUACC